rnacentral:rRNA from 1 species
AUACGUAGGGGGCGAGCGUUGUCCGGAAUGACUGGGCGUAAAGGGCGUGUAGGCGGCCGAUUAAGUCUGGAGUGAAAGUCCUGCUUUCAAGGUGGGAAUUGCUUUGGAGACUGGUUGGCUUGAGUGCGGAAGAGGUAAGUGGAAUUCCCAGUGUAGCGGUGAAAUGCGUAGAGAUUGGGAGGAACACCAGUGGCGAAGGCGACUUACUGGACUGUAACUGACGCUGUGGCGCGAAAGUGUGGGGAGCAAACAGGAUUAGAUACCCUGGUAGUCCACACUGUAAACGAGGAAUGCUAGGUGUAGGGGGUAUCGACCCCUUCUGUGCCGCAGUCAACACAAUAAGCAUUCCGCCUGGGGAGUACGGCCGCAAGGUUGAAACUCAAAGGAAUUGACGGGG